GCCCAAGGGAGACCGAUAAAAUUGGAACGAUACAGAGAAGAUUGGCAUGGCCACUGCGCAAGGAUGACACGCACAAAUUGAGAAAUGGUCCAAAGUUAA
rnacentral:snRNA from 1 species